rnacentral:lncRNA from 1 species
AUGAACUUUAACACAAAUAAAGAAGAAUAAAUGAUUACAUGGUUUAUACUUUAUAAUAAUCGUUUUGUAACAUUACUAAAAGCCAAAAGGAUACGGUGGGAUAAAUUUGUAAAUCAAAAACAGAAGAAGUUCUUUAUCGCAAAAGCAGAGAUAAAUAAAAUAUUUUAUAGCUCUAUAAAAUAAUGUGAAAUCGGUUUUUAU